rnacentral:misc_RNA from 1 species
UGGUUCUGGCAUCGAUGAAGAACGCAGCGAAAUGCGAUAAGUAAUAUGAAUUGCAGAGUUAAGUGAAUCAUCGAAUCUUUGAACGCACAUUGCGCCCGCCAGUAUUCUGGCGGGCAUGCCUGUCUGAGCGUCAUUUCACCACUCGCGACCGGCUUCAGGGCUGGACGCGGCGUUGGGGAUCGGCUCCCUCUAGGGGGUGCCGUCCCCUAAAUUGAGUGGCGGUCUCGCUGUGACCUCCUCUGCGUAGUAGCAAUAUUCUCGCAGGCGGAGAGCGGCUUGGUCCUGCCAUAAAACCCCAACUAUACAAUGGUUGACCUCAGAUCAGGUAGGAAUACCCGCUGA